AUCAACGGCUGGCGGCGCGCUUAACACAUGCAAGUCGCACGAGAAAGUGGAGCAAUCCAUGAGUACAGUGGCGUACGGGUGAGUAACACGUGGAUCAUCUACCUUCUAGUGGGGAAUACCUUCCGGGGAAACUGGAGACAAUGACCGCAUAGCUCGUAAGAGGAAAGCCAGCAAUGCGCGGGAAGAGGGAUGUCGCGGCUGAUUAGCUAGUUGGUGGGGUACGGUAACGGCUCACCAAGGCGAAGUGAUCAGGUAGCCGGCCUGAGAGGGGCAGCACGGACACACUGGAACAUGAAACACGGGUCCAGACUCCUACGGGAGGGCAGCAGUGGGGAAUUUGCGCAAUGGGGGAAACUCUGAUGCAGCUAACGCCGCGUGGAGGAUGAAGCCCUUGGGACGUAAACUCCUUUCGAACGGGACGAUGAUGACGGUACCGUAUGAAGAAGCCUGCCGGCUAACUUACGUGCCAGCCAGCCGCGGUAAUACGUAGGGGGCAAGCGUUGUUCGGAAUUACUUGGGCGUAAAGGGCGCGUAGGCGGCGCUGUUAAGUCUGUUGUGAAAUCUCCAGGCUCUAACUGGGAGGUGCUGCGGCGGAAACUGGGCAGUGCUAGGAGUACUGGGAGAGGUGAGGGGAAUUCCCGGUGUAGCGGUGAAAAUGCGUAGAUAUCAGGGAGGAACACCUGUGGCUGUAGAAGCGGCUCACUGGACCAUUACUGACGCUGAGACAGCGAAAGCGUAGGGUAGGCAAACAGGAUUAGAUACCCUGGUAGUCCUACGCCCUAAACGAUGCAUGACUUGGUGUGAUAGGAUCCCAUCUUCGUUCGUGCCGGAGCUAACGCGUAAGCUAUGCCGCCUGGGAGUACGGUCGCAAGGCUGAAACUCAAAGGAAUUGACGGGGGCCCGCACAAGCGGUGGAGCAUGUGGUUCAAUUCGACGCAACGCGAAGAACCUUACCUGGGCUCGAAGCGGCUAGUGGACCAUCCUGGUAAACAGGAUCCUUCUCGCAAGGAGACUGCUAGUCGUAGGUGCUGCAUGGCUGUCGUCAGCUCGUGUCGUGAGAUGUUGGGUUAAGUCCACGCAACAAGCGCAAUCCUUGUCACUGUGUUGCCAUCACGUAUGUUGGGCACUCUAAGGAGACCGCCAGCUGAUAACGAUGGAGGAAGGUGGGGAUGACUGUCAAGUCCUCAUGGCCUUUAUGUCCAGGGCUACACACGUGCUACAAUGGGCCGGUACACAACGCGCUGCAAACCUCGCAAGAGGGGAGCUAAUCGCAAAAACCGGUCCUCAGUUCGGAUUGCAGGCUGCAACUCGCCUGCAUGAAGCUGGAAUCGCUAGUAAUGCCGUAUCAGAACGCUGGCGUGAAUACGUUCCCGGGCCUUGUACACACCGGCCCGUCACAUCACGAAAGUGGAUCUGUACUAGAAGCGUCCCUAAUCAACCCAGGGGAGCCCCAAGGUAUAGAUUCAUGAUUGGGGUG
rnacentral:rRNA from 1 species